GACGAACGCUGGCGGCGUGCCUAAUACAUGCAAGUAGGACGCACAGUUUAUACCGUAGCUUGCUACACCAUAGACUGUGAGUUGCGAACGGGUGAGUAACGCGUAGGUAACCUGCCUAUUAGAGGGGGAUAACUAUUGGAAACGAUAGCUAAUACCGCAUAACAGUAUGUAACACAUGUUAGAUGCUUGAAAGAUGCAAUUGCAUCGCUAGUAGAUGGACCUGCGUUGUAUUAGCUAGUAGGUAGGGUAAAGGCCUACCUAGGCAACGAUACAUAGCCGACCUGAGAGGGUGAUCGGCCACACUGGGACUGAGACACGGCCCAGACUCCUACGGGAGGCAGCAGUUAGGGAAUCUUCGGCAAUGGGGGGAACCCUGACCGAGCAACGCCGCGUGAGUGAAGAAGGUUUUCGGAUCGUAAAGCUCUGUUGUUAAGGAAGAACGAGUGUGAGAAUGGAAAGUUCAU
rnacentral:rRNA from 1 species